UUUGCUCUUGGCAGACGGGGACUUGACGUCGCUGAGCCAUUGCGGCUCCCUCCGUCAGCUGCCCCUGCUGGCUCCCGCCCUCCUCCCCUGGGACACGCCAGAGCCAGCGUGGAGCCUUCUCCACGGUUCCUGGUCAGGGCCGGCGGUCUGGCCAGGUGGCAGGGGACCAGGGCCAGGGCCGAACCCCGGCAAGUCCCCGCAGCCGCUGCCCCAGGUCUGAGGCCUGCAGGCUGCGCCGUCCUCCCCCCCCCAGCCACUCAGGGCUCUCCUGGACGCCUUGCAAGGCCUGGUGUCUGUCCCAGGGCAGGGACUGACCUCCCCCGCACACUUCACAUGACUGCAUGGACAGCAGGCCCUGCCUGCAAGGCCUGGGUGGUGGGAGGGCACCCAGCAGUGGGGGGGUCACACCCUGGGAUGAGGACUCACGCCUGUGGCCCCCCACGGAAGUGCAGAGUGGCCCGAGGCCAGCAGCUGAGCUGCCAGGUUGUCAAGGCCAAGGUCAAGAGGCACAUGGCUGCCAGUGGCUCCAGAGCCCUCCCGCCUUGGCUGCCCCCUACCCCAGGACCGAGAGGCCUGUGCUUCUGUGGACCGAGCCUCGAGGAUGGCUCCCACGACAGCAGCCACCUCCUGCCCGGCAGGGGACGGCCAGCCUCCCCUCGGGCUGCAGGGGGAUUCUGACGUGGGGAUGGCCAUUGGGCAGUGGCAGCUGAACGUGGGGGGACAGUGCCCACGGGUCGGCAGAGCCACGUCCCAGGCAGGCCCUGCCGGCCAGCGGUCCUGUCCCGGCGUCCCGGAGGGGAGUACAGGCAGGACCAAGCCAGGAGGGGUCGGGUGGGGACUGCCCGGCCUCCAUACAGGCGGAGCGGCUGCGGGCUCAGCUGGACGUGGCCCGGGAGGAGCUGGCGGUGCUGCGCCAGGAGCUGCAGGGCGCCGAGGAGAGCUGCGAGGGGCUGCGCAGGGAGGCCCGGGAGGCCCGCCAGGCGCUGGGCAGCGAGGCCGGCGAGCUGGAGGUGCUGUGCCGCUCCAACAGCGAGCUGCGGGCCGCCCUCCGCCGAGCCGAGCAGGACAAGGCCAGUUUUCAGCGGUCGGCGGAGGAGAAGGGGCAGCGGCUGCUCGUCCUGGAGGCGGCGGGCGCGGCGGCGCAGCGGGAGGCCGGGGCACUGAGGGCCGGCCUGCGGGAGCUGCAGCGCGAGCAGGGGGACGCCCGCCGGGAGCUCCAGGAACGCGGCAGACAGGUGAGGAUGCUGCAAGCCGAGAUCCAGAGGGAGAGGCGCGGGCGCGGCGAGCUGCAGGCCCGGAGGGCGCGGGAGACGCUGGAGCUGCAGAGCCAGGCGGCCGAGGCGGAGGCCGCCCUCGGGGGCGCCCGGACGGAGGUGGGGCGGCCUGCCCACCGGCCAGGCCGGGGAGGCGCCUGGG
rnacentral:lncRNA from 1 species